rnacentral:rRNA from 1 species
UACAGAGGGGGCAAGCGUUAUUCGGAAUUACUGGGCGUAAAGGGCGCGUAGGCGGCCUUGUAAGUCCUGUGUGAAAUCCCCCGGCUCAACUGGGGAACUGCACAGGAGACUGCUUGGCUUGAGUUCGGGAGAGGGAAGCGGAAUUCCGGGUGUAGCGGUGAAAUGCGUAGAUAUCCGGAGGAACACCGGUGGCGAAGGCGGCUUCCUGGACCGACACUGACGCUGAGGCGCGAAAGCCAGGGGAGCAAACGGG